GACAGAGGCCUCGAGCGUUAGGCGGAAUCACUGGGCUUAAAGCGUGUGUAGGCGGACGCCUAAGUACCUUGUGAAAUCCCACGGCUCACCCCGUGGAACCGCUGGGUAUACUGGGGCGUCUUGGGCCAUUCAGGGGCAACUGGAACAAGCGGUGGAGCGGUGAAAAUGCGUAGAUAUCGCUUGGAACGCCGACGGUGAAAACAGGUUGCUGGGAAUGUGCCGACGCUGAGACACGAAAGCCAGGGGGAGCAAAACGGGGAUUAGAAACCCCCUGU
rnacentral:rRNA from 1 species